AACGUAGGUGGCAAGCGUUAUCCGGAUUUACUGGGCGUAAAGCGUGUGCAGGCGGGGGUACAAGUGGUGUAUGAAAUUUCCCAGCUUAACUGGGAAGGGUUAUGCCAGACUGUACUUCUGGAGUGCGAGAGAGGGCGUGGAAUUCCGGGUGUAGUGGUGAAAUGCGUAGAGAUGUGGAGGAAUACCGAUGGCGAAGGCAGCCCCCUGGGAUAACACUGACGCUCAUGCACGAAAGCGUGGGGAGCAAACAGG
rnacentral:rRNA from 1 species